rnacentral:lncRNA from 1 species
GUGGAGCAGCUGACUUCUGCCCCUGGACCUCAGUGUUGCUCCUUCUCUGGCUUCAGACUCAGACGGAGUCACAUCACUGGCCUUCCAGCUCACAGACACCAGCUUAUGGGUCUUCAGACCUCUUGGCCUCUAUAAUCUUGUUCCUGGUCUUGAGGGCUUCAGCAGUGAAACUGCAAACCUUCCUGACAGAAAAGUUCUCCAAGUCCUCACUGGACCCAGAAGCGCAACCGGCUUCACCUCUCGCAGUCCAGGCGGGACUUUGCGGCACCUGUCCCAGGCACUCCUGCUUCCCAGAGGGAGGUCUUCCCAGCCAAUCAAGAGGAAGAGAGGAGAAGCUAGUAACAGAAGGAGACCCGCCAUCGUGGCCAACGACACCGCGAAGAGGGAAGGGCGGUCCAUGCACGAGACCCAGCGUCCAAUCAAGCCCAGCAGGCGCCGGCCAGCCGCGGUGAAUUUCAGUCAGUGCGUCAAAUUCCGUAAAAGAUGCAAUUGCAGUUUAACUGGGAUUCCACGGUGCAUUUCGAUCACUUUGGGAGACCGUUGACAUCUUUACAAUGUUAAUUUUCUCGUUCAAGAUUUCUCUCCAUUUACUCAGAAAGUUUCUUUUGUGUCUGCCAAUAAAGUUUUAGUUUUCCUCUCACAGGUUUUGUGUGCAUUUUUGUUACUUCCAACCUCUGCCCCCUGGUAUUUUACAGUUUUUCUAGCUAUUGUAAAUGGGACAGCUUCUUUCAAAUGGUUAUUUCUUGUGUAUAAAGAUAUGGAUUUUUAU